rnacentral:misc_RNA from 1 species
GUUUUGUUCUCUAAUGGGCAAGUGAUGAUGCCACAAGGUUCAUUCUAUAGAAGUUUAAGCUUUUAUUAACUUGUAUACCCUGUCUAUGCCUGACCGUGCUCCUUUGAGCAAAUAUUGUCUCUUAUUUUUUGGGUUAUGUAUCUGGUUCCUGUAUCUCUUGCUAGUACAAUUAGAUCUUAAGUUCAUGAAAUAGCAAAAACUAUUUCAAAUUGGGCAGGACUGGGAAAUGCUUGCUGUUCUUCCAGUUUAAAAGGUUGAGCAGAAACAGCUAU